rnacentral:lncRNA from 1 species
GCAUCCAAUUACUGACUCCUAUCAUGAGCUGGUACUCCUGUGGGAGAGUUGAUAGAAAUCAGAUAUCAUGUAAAAUAAUACAUCCAUACAGUGCCUUAGAGUUUUCAGAAUACAUUCACAAAUAUUAUCCAGUUUAAUGUCUACAGUCAAAAUGGGUUAAAUAAUGAGUGUUAUCAUCUCCAUUAAUCUAUCCAUAAAGGAUAGAAUCAGGGCUCAGAAAGUCAAGAAGCUUCAUCAAAAUGAGUCAGCUAGUGAGUGGCAGUACUGUGAUUCUUAAAAGCCCAGAGAUCAUCUCCCCAGUAAUUCACCUUAUAUUGUUAAGACAUGAAAAACACUUAAGUGAAGCUAUAAACCACUUAUAUUAACAUCUCCUUUCUUUUUAUGUCCUCACCCAGAAGGUAUUUAAAAAAUUUAAAUACAUUUUAAUUCACUCACAAUGGUUAGAAACAAACAUUAAAAAUAAGAUAAAAAGGAAGAAAAAGCUCACAAAAUUUUAGCAAUAAUCUUUACGAACUAUCCAUUUUCUUUAGAGGUAGUUGUUUAUAGAUAGAUGUGGUAUUUCAAGUUUUAACAAAAAAACUUGAAUAUAAUAUAUAAGUCUGAUAGAAGAUUCAAAUAAGUGAUAAAUCUUCGGAAAUGCAUAUUUUUCAAAGUUUUAAAAAAUGAAUACAGGACCACGUUAUUACUUAUAGGGGACAAAAAUAGAGAGAUAAAGUGUCUCUUUUAAGUUUUCUAGGGAUCAGUGCUAGAACCAGACUUAACAAAUUAAACAAUUUUUCAAUUUGUUCAAUUUUAAUUGAACAAUUAAAAUGACAAAGUAUAUUUAACAAAAGAAGUGCAAGAGUUCUACACAGAAAACUAUAAGAAAGAAAUGGAAAUUAAAUCAUAGUAAAUGGAAAGAUGUCUCACUUACAUGAUCAGAAGACUCCAUAUUGUUAAGAUGGUAAUACCCCUCAAUUUGUCCUACAGAUUGAAUACGAUUCCUUUCAAAAUCUCUGUGGUUAUUUUACAUAGAUUGACAAGCAUAUCUUUUUUCUUUUUCUUUUUUUUUUUUUUUUNNNNNNNNNNACAAAAUUUUAGCAAUAAUCUUUACGAACUAUCCAUUUUCUUUAGAGGUAGUUGUUUAUAGAUAGAUGUGGUAUUUCAAGUUUUAACAAAAAAACUUGAAUAUAAUAUAUAAGUCUGAUAGAAGAUUCAAAUAAGUGAUAUAAGUUUUCAGAGGCUAUUUUAAAUAUUUUUACUGAAUUUUAUUGAUAUGUCAAUAUU